UGAAUGGGAGACAACCAAAAUAUACUUCUAGAAUACGAAAUAGGUGAAUGAUGCAAUGUGGGUACCUACCAAGUAGCUGAGAUGUAAUGGCUUUUGCCAGAUAAGUGGCAGUCACAUAAGUCUAGCAAGAUAACAGGGCAUAGUAAAAAAUAUAAUACAGAUGCCACAUGCCUGGAGUUUUUUCAAUUUGGGCACAUGGUGCCCUCAAAGGAUCUCCUCCCAUGUUACACAGAAAAACAUAAUUGGCUGAGCACAGUGAUUCAAACCUACAAUCUCAGCACUUUGGGAGGCUGAGGUGUACAGAUUGCUUGAGCUCAGGAGUUCGAUACCAGCCUGGAAACAUGGUAAAACCCUAUAUCUACUAAUACGAGAAAAUAGCCAGGCAUGGUGGUGCAUGCCUGUGGACCCAGCUACAUGGAGGCUAAGGUGGGAAGAUCACUUGAGCCUAGGGGGUGGAGGAUGCAGUGAGCUACGAUCGCAGCACUGCACACCAGCAUGGGUGAUGGAGUGAGACCGUCUCUCCAAAAAAAGGAAAAAAUAAUAACAUUCCCUAUAUAUCUAACCUAUACAUCUACAGUGUUUUUCUCAUCUCAGUGUUCUAGGAUUCAAUGACAGAAGGCACAGUGCUUUUUUGCAAACAUUACAUUCAAAAGGCAUUUCCGUAGUGACAGCUCUCCUGUGAGUUUUGAAGCCAGACUUCUGGAUAAAUAGCCUAUAUUUGCCACACUAGUAAGGCCUUCAUUCAGUGUUAAGUAUAAUCCUGAAGGAAUACAGAGGUGUGGCUACAAAACUGCCAAAUUUAUUUUACUUGUAAGGACUUUUCUCUAGUGUGAACUCUCCAAUGUCCAAGGAGAGCGGACUUCUUUCGGGUAAACAUUUUCCACAUUUGCUGCAAUCACAGGAUCUUACUCAGGUGUGUGCUCUCCUGUAUUUAAUGAGACUGGACUCAUUCUCUGCACUCAUAAGGCCUUUCUUUCAUGAACUCUCUGACGGUAACGAAGUGAAGAGCUUUUCCUAAAUUUUUUUUCACAUUCACUACACCCAUAAGGCUUUUCUCCAGUGUGAACUCUCCUAUGAUUAGUGAGACUGGAGAUUCCAGCAAAAGAUUUCCCACAUUCACUGCACUCAAGGCUUCUGACCAGUGUGAACUCUCCUGUGACUAGUGAGAUAGGAGCUUGCAGCAAAAGAUUUCCCACAUUCACUGCACUCAUAAGGCUUCUGACCAGUGUGAACUCUCUUAUGAACAAUGAAUGCACAGCUGUGGGUAAAUGACUUCCCACAAUCACUGCAUUCAUAUGGCCUUUCUCCAGUGUGAACUCUCUGGUGUGCAGUGAGGUGGCACUUGUGCCUAAAAAAUUUCUGACAAGCCUCACAUGCAUAUGGCUUUUCUCCACUGUGAAUUCUCUGGUGUACAAGGAGGUGAGACUUCUUCUUAAAUAAUUUUCCACAUUCCCAACACAUAUAAGGCCUUUUUCUAGUAUGGCCAUGCUGGUGUAGAAUUAGGUUACCCUUGUGACUAAAACAUUUCCCACAUUCCCCACACUUAUAAGGUCUUUCUGUAGUGUGAACUCGCUGAUGACUCCUAAGGUGUCCUUUUUCAUUAAAAGAUUUCCCACAGUCUCCACACUUGUAAGGUCUUUCUCCAGUGUGCAUGCGCUGAUGGAUCCUAAGGUGCCCCUUUGAAAUAUAAGAUUUCCCACAUUCUCCACACUUGUAAGGUCUUACUUCAGUGUGAAUGCGCUGAUGGUAACUAAGGCUGGGCUUCCGACUAAAAGAUUUCUCACAUUCUCCACACUUGUAAGGUCUCUCUCCAGUGUGAAUGCGCUGAUGACUCUUAAGGUUCACGUUUGAACUAAAAGAUUUCCCACAUUCCCCACACUCAUAAGGCCCUUUUCCAGCGUGAACUUUUUGAUGGCGCCUAAGAUGUCCUUCUAAGCUAAAAUAUUUCCCACAUUCUUCACACCCAUAAGGUUUUCCUCCAGUGUGAAAUUGCUGAUGUUGAAUGAGGCUGCUCUUUUGACUAAAAGAUUUCCCACAUUCUCCACAUUCAUAAGGUCUUUUCCCAGUGUGAACUCUCUGAUGAUUACUGAAGCUAACAUAUUUGCUAAAGGAUUUCCCACAUUCUCCACAUUCAUAAUGUUUUUUGUCAGUGUGAACUCUCUGAUGAUUACUCAAGCUAUCAUAUUUGCUAAACGAUUUCCCACAUUCUCCACAUUCAUAAGGUCUUUUCACAGUGUGAACUCUCUGAUGAUUACUGAAGCUAACAUAUUUGCUAAAGGAUUUCCCACAUUCACAGCACACAUAACAUUCUUCUCGAGGGAGAAGUCUCUGGUGCUGACUGAGUAUAUGUUUGGUGCUAAAAUGUUUCAUGGAAUCUCCAUGGCUAUAGUGAGCUCCCCCACACUGAAUGGGAGACACACACUCAGUUUUGCUGUUUGACUUCUCCCCAGUGUGACUGGCCUCCUGCUGGAGUAAUCCUGACCUGGGCAAAAAGUCCUUCCCAUUCUCACUGAAGACGGAUGACUCCCCUGACACAUGCAACUUACACCUCUUCGCAAACAACGCCUCCUCAACACUCUCUCUGUAGGGUUUCUCUCCAAUGUGCUCAUUCUGGUGCUGAUGAAAGUUUCCACUGUCAUACAAUUUAUUCCCCCAGGCCUCACACCUGUGCAGUUUCUGCUUGUGAUGUGUUCCCUGAUGAUCUGCCACAUGCAAAAUGUCUCCCAAGAUCGGGCCACACAUCUCACAGGGGUGGGCCUUCUUGGGAGACACACCUGUCAUAGGAGUCCUGACCUGAGUCUCUCUUUGUAUAUAAAUACUCUGCUUAGAAGGUGCCGCCUCAUCUUCCACUCCACACCAACAACCUGAAAGCAAGAAAAUGCUGGUGAAGUGCAUGUUAACUCUGGUGGGAAGGCACAGACCACCCACAAGUGUAUCUGACAAACUGAGGAAUUACUCCAAGGAACUACUUGGAGGAACAGGAUGUUGG
rnacentral:lncRNA from 1 species